ACAACAGCUCUCUCAAACUGAAUCCAAAUUUCUUGCCAUGCAAAUCAAAAGUCCUCACCCAGAAUCAAAAAUCCAGCUGAAUCCAAAUUUCUUGCCAUUCCAAACUGAAAACCCAAAACAACCUAACCCCCCAAUCCAUACCCCAUCUCUCUUCGAGAAAGACAGAAAACCUCAUUCCGCAUCUGAGACUUUGUUUCAUAUAGCGAAAUUGUCCAAACCUCAUCACUCAUUUCAUGGCUAGCUCUUUAUCUAUGCUGCAGAUUUAAGUGUUCGGCUCCGUUCUUCCCAAUGGCACAGUCGACAUCAGAAACUCGUACACUGUUCCUCACAGCGAGAACUCCGAGCAGGGGUUUCUGGGUUAUUGGCUUAACCUUGAGGUGGAGGUGUGUGAGAGCUGCUGAGGUGUGGCUUCAAAUAUCCAAUUCCAGAGUUAUUGUUCAUGCUUGGAGACAUAGAUUGCUUCUACGUUCAAGGUUUCAUAUGCUACUGUUGUAAGAAAUUGGUCUGCAAGGUCUGAAGAGAAGGAGAAGGUUGAAUCUGUAAAUCAAGAUUAGGACAAGGAUGAUUGAGAUGGUAUCUCAAGGCUCGGCUACCUUGGAGGUUUCACUUAAACACUCGGGGUCACUUUUUAUGUACGCUGGUAAUGAGGGUGGUGCUUAUGCCAAAAACAGCUUUGGUAAUAUAUAUACAGCUGUUGGUGUAUUUGUUCUUGGACGGAUGUUACGUGAAGCAUAGGUAUCUGAAGCAGCAAAAAGCAACCAGAGUUCAAUGAUUUCCUAGAGAGGAACCAUAUGUGCAUAUCAAUGGAGCUCGUAACUGCAGUCCUAGGAGACCAUGGACAGUGUCCAAAUGAAGAUUUUGGUACUGAGUGUUUUUCUUCUCUCCUUUUUCUUUCUUGUGAUUUAAAAGACUUUAUACGUUCUCUCUGCUACUAUCCUUAAAAGAAUGGGAUACACAAUUGGAUACACAAUUGCUACUAUCCUUAAAAGAAGCAGUUAUGUAUUCUUCAAUGAUGGUUUGGACAUGGGUUUAUAUGAGGAAGGAUGAUGGAGAUUACACAGCAACAAACACAUUACUUGUCUUGCCCCACUCUCAGAGAGGUAAGAAGACACUUGACCUUGAGCGUGGAGGGUUUUUUGCCUAACUAAAUGAAUGGCUUUUGCUGCUAUUAUCGAUCAUUUUAACCCUGUCCCAGUAGUCAAUUUCAGGCUGGAUUGAUUUUACUUUGUUGAAAAUUUGGAACAAUUGAUGUAGUUUGCUCACUUGGUGGCUUAUUGAAGUGGUAGUACAAUGUUGUUAGUGGUUUCCAGGUUUUUGAUGAAUAUAUGGUACAAAGUAAUUUCCAGUUUCUAUAUGAAUGGUAUAUUGUGGUUUAUAUUUCCAAGUUCUGAUGAA